CGCGGUCGUACCCUCCGCCCUCUGCGCCGAGAGCCGCUGCCGCCCGGGGCCUUAGAGGGCUCCUCGCCCCUGCUUCCUGGGAGACCCUCUCCGCUGGGAGAGUCGCAGUCACGGAGCCGGGGGACACCUGUACGGGCAGGCGGCCGGCGAAGGCCCGGCCCGAGAGGAAGCGGGCCCCGAACGCCGCAACUGCCUGGGAAGCGGCUUUGCGUGUGCGCGGCGAGAGUAGCGGGGCCAUUGCCGGGCGUCUCAGGCGCCCGGGGCACCUCCGCCCUUCUUCCUGCCGCAGCUUCCUCGUGGCACUGGGAAGGGCGGCGGGAACGCAGGCGCUGCGCCGGGCGAAGGCCGCGGCCCUGCUCUCAUCCUCAGCAGUUGGGAGGCUGGGGCUGGGCUACACCGACCCGAGCGGGGGCCGGGCGCGGGCCAGGCUCCUCCCUCAUCUCCGGCUCCGUGGGCCGCGUGGCUGCCCCUUGGCUGUCCCUGCCUGGGUAGUGUGCGCCCUUACCCUCCCGCCCCGCUUCAGGCCCUGCAGUUGAGAACACGGCGCCCCCCGCCCCAGCCUGGACCCCUCGCUCUAGAUCCCGACCUUGACGCAGCUUGGGGAAGCCUACAAAGCCCUUCUCAAAAUAUUUUUAGAUGAAUAAAAUAACAAGAUUAGGAAGGAAGGCUACUAUGCCGGGCGUGGUGGAGCACAUCUGUGGGCCCAGCUACUCGGGAGCUGAGGCAGGAGGAUCCCUUAAGCCUGGGAAGUCAAGGCUGCAGUGAGCCGAGAUGCGUGCCACUUCACUCCAGCCUAGGCGACAGAGUGAGACUUGCAGAAGGAAAGAGAGAAAAGAAAUACAGUAACAGUUAAUAAAAUUCUUAACACACA